ensembl:lncRNA
GUCAAACUGAUCAAAGCAGACAACAUUGACAAUAAUGUGUCUAAAAUGUAACACAGUAUUAACUUCUUGUCUAUUGAACACUUGAAUAAAAUCAAUGUCACAUUUGCAAUCAUGCAGAUAUUUGGGAAAAAACACUAUUUAUACCAUAUGAUAUAAAUAUAUAUAUAAAUUGACAGCCCUACCACAUUUUUUUUCACAAAUGGUGUAUUUACUUUGAGGAGUCUCAUUUAAACACAUUUAAUGACUUAAUGAGGAAGGUGAAUAGAUCCUGACCUAGAGGUCUGUGGACUGUCUGAUGUUAUCAUUUUACAUAUCUGACUGUUUUCUGACUCUUGUUCAUCUGGGAACGUGAAGGCUAACUUUUCUGAGCUGCUCCAAUCAGCAUUUUCACCUGACCCGCCCCAAUACUGUGUGAUAGUGGAGAGGAAAAGACUUCUUGCUGCAGUUAUUAGGCAGCAACAGCUGGUUUCCAUUGCAGAAGAACACCACCUUCUGUCCUAACAUUGUUCCUCUGGGAUGUGGAAAACGCUCGGGCCUCAAAGGGGACUUUUGUCAUCAUCUGGGAGCAUUUAUCCAUAUUUCAGAAAUACAUUCUCAAUGCAACCUUCACCUUCAUGCAAAUACCUGUGACUGCCUUGGCCUACAGCUUCACUAGGAGUGUUAAAUCUUACCAGGAUACGCCCUUGUUUCAUCAUCCAGUUAAGUUAGAUCUCUUGCAAGCAACCUCAACUAGACAGGAAGUCAGCAGCAAUGUCUGCUGUAUAACCUGACAGUGGCCAUUUUGGAGCAGCGACUGACUCUGACAGAGGACAAACUGAAGGAUUGUAUGGAGAUGCAGUGUGAGCGGUCUCCUGGAGCUACAGCUACCUCACUGCCACCUCCUUGAACAGUUUACAGCUCACAAACCAACGUCAAACCUUUGUUCUUGUUCAAACAUGGUUGUGUUAAAGAGCCAUAGUGAUAAGAGUGAAUAAAAUGACAGUCUGUAUUAUUUGGUGGCAGAUGUUUGUGCAGAUUUUUGCAGUGGCAGCAGUGUGAGGAUGGAGGAUUUUGCUGAGUGUGGACAUGCUGCAGACUGUAAUCCAUUCUAAAACCACAAACUGAAGCUCAUCCUUGGCUGAAAUAUGAUAAGAGAAAUCAAAACAUGAAGCCUUCAUUCUGAAGUAUUUCAAUAAGCAGUGUAUUUGUCCUGUUUUACAUUAACUUCCAAGUUAACUUCCAAUUUUCAUUUCCUUUUUCUUUUUUAAAUUGUUUUGAGUUAUACUGUCUUGUCUUGUCUUGUGUGUAACUGAAUGCUUCUUUUUUCAAAUGAAGUUUUUACGCUGUAAACCUUGUAAUCUUUUUUCCAUGCCAAUAAAAUGUUUGUUUUAACAUGGUGUGUUUACUUUGUUGUUCUUUCUGUAUAUUGCUGUAAAUUAUCACACUAAUAUUGGCUCUGAAUACUGAUUACCAAUACUGUGUUUAAGCUGUGCUGUUAUAAAGUGAUGGAGUUGUAUAGUGAAUAUAGUGCUGCCUGAAGAGUGAUGGACACGACUCUGUGUCUAGAGUGACUCUGUUCACUAUAUACCACCACCUGAAGUGUCUUACACAUUUUAGAGAACAGGAAUACAGGUUUUUAGAAUGCACAGUAUAGUAUCAUAAUAUAUGUAAUGUUUUUAUUACAUAGUAUCCAUUAUGUGAAGUCAACAAUGCAAUGUACAGUUAAUUAUACUCCACAGCUGUUCAUUCAUUGGUUGAUUUCUUUGAAUCAUGCAAAUACUGUGACUCUGUGCUGCUGUUGAGCAUCCCGACAGCCCGACACAUCAUUGACUCAACCAAUAGUGUGAGUUUGGGGCGGAGCUGUCUGUUUAUUGACCAAUGGGAGAAGGGGAGUGUUCAGGAAAGCAAUCAUUAUGUUGGCUUGACAGUUUACUGAUUCACUGAUCUAGGGCCCUAUUUUAACGAUCUAAGUGCAGGGUCUAAAGUGCAUGGCGCAGGUGCACUCAGGCCGUGUCCGAAUCCACUUUUGCUACGAUGGGAAAACGGUCGGAGCAUCCAGGCGCAUGGUCUAAACGGGUUGU